GUUCCAUUUAUUUUUAACAUAAAUUAGAUGGUUUAAUAGCGCAAGCAACAUACGUCCUCUAUCUGAGGACUAUAUAUUAAAUGGAUUUUUGGAACAGGGAGAUGGAAUAGGAGCUUGCUCCAUCCACUCCACGCAUCAACCUGGUAUUUCAGUACCUCCAGGAACGGUGCACAAAAC
rnacentral:snRNA from 1 species